UCCGUGCUGGUCUAGUGGCUAGGAUUUGUCGCUCUCAGUAGAGUAUACCACUGUAAAGUGCCGACAAGGCCGGGGUUCGAUUCCCCGGCACGGAA